GAGAUUGUGCCGUUAUAAACUCCAGCCUGGGCAACAGAGCAAAAUUCUGUCUCAAAAAAAAUAAUAAAAUAGAGAUCCCAGAGACAGAUAUGCUUAUAUAGGCAGUUGGAUUCGAAUAUAUAUCUAAUAUAUGUCUGUUUAAAUAGAUGUAGUUGUUAAAAAAAAAUCAAGUACAUUAUUACUCAGACAUAUCAGGUUAAUGAGAAGACCAUUCAGGCUUAUAAAUGUUGUAAUUGAUGAAGUAUUUUAGAAUUAUUUGGAUGCAUCGUUAGUCUACUUACUAAAGGUGUGGGGGAGUACACCUGUGCUUGUCCAUUAAUUGUCCAUGACACCAUUCUGUCAGAAUACAGGAUUAGAGUAAUUAUUCUGAGUGUAUUAUUUCUUCUUAUUUCAUAAAAGCCAUGUGCUGUACAGCAUUUAAUUCAUACUUACAGAGAUAAAGUGAAUGAACUAAACGCUGCGCUUUUUUGUUUUAUUUGAGUAUUAGUCUUGUAUAUACUUUAUAUUAAAAUGCAUUCGUAGGGAGUAAUUAAUAUUUUGUGAGCAUCUACAGUAUGCAUAGUACCUGCUCUCGGGGUGUACAUUUCUGAGGGCAGAGACAAAUGCACCUACAAAUAACUAUGCCAUUAUAAUAAAGUUUUAAUGAAAUACUAAAAUGGGAAAUUGGAGGAUUUUGACUAUGGAGUUUGGGGUAGACUUUGUGUUCUUUCAUUCUGAAAACUGAGGGAAGGUCAUUUUAGACAAAGGAAAAGUAUUGAGCCAAGACAGAAAUAUCUGGAUUGCAUGAUUGUUACGGAGACUGAGUUGGCUCUGAAGUCAGACUGCUUGAGCUGAAUCUGGUUCCUCCUAUUACCUGCCAUGUGAUCUGGGGCAAACAGUUCUUGUUAAUUUUUUAAUCUACAAAUUUAAGAUAAUAUUUUCUUUGCCUUACAGGAAAACUGCACAUAUAAGAGGAUAGUUUAAUGAAAUGUAAUAAACUGAGUAUACCUGUGUAACUUGCAUGCAAAUUAUAAACAAAACAAGAUUAUCGGCAUCCCAAGAGGUUUUUACAUUCUCGAUUGUAUUGUUUUGAGGAUUCGGUAUUAUUUGUAAAGUGGACCUGGCAAUGGCUAACACCUGUAACCCUAGCACUUUGGUAGGCCUAGGUGGGAGGAUUGUUUAAUCCCAGGAGUUUGAGACCAGCAUGAACAGCAAAGUGAGACUCUGUCUCUAUUAUUAAUAAAAUAAAGAAGAAGAAAAAACAUUAUUUGUGAAGUGUUCAGAACAGUAUCUGGCAUAUAUUAUAUCCCUAUCAGUGUUAGCCAUUAUUCAGUAGAUGGCUGGUGAAUAUGGAUGAAACCAGAGAAGGUACACUCCCUGGCAUAUAUCAAGCAUUCAGUAGACAUGUUUUGAAUUAUUUAAAGAAAAAUAAAGAAUACAACCAUGGUUGUCAGUUUUACAGAGGCUAGAUUAGGGAUUUAGUACAGUUAUCAAAUUAUCGGUAUAAUUUUAAUGACUAGCCUAUAUAGGAAAAC